CGGACGAACGCUGGCGGCGUGCCUAACACAUGCAAGUCGAACGGAGAAGUUGAUUUCGGUUGACUUCUUAGUGGCGAACGGGUGAGUAACGCGUGAACAACCUGAACCUCAAGAGGGGGAUACCAACGAGAAAUCGUUGUUAAUACCGCAUAAGACCACAGCGCCGCAUGGCAAAGGGGUCAAAGGAGCAAUCCGCUUGAGGAGGGGUUCGCGUCCCAUUAGGUAGUAGGCGGGGUAACGGCCACCUAGCCAGCGAUGGGUAGCCGAGCUGAGAGGCUGAACGGCCACACUGGAACUGAGACACGGUCCAGACUCCUACGGGAGGCAGCAGUGGGGAAUAUUGGGCAAUGGGCGCAAGCCUGACCCAGCAACGCCGCGUGAGGGAAGAAGGUUUUCGGAUUGUAAACCUCUGUCGCAGAUGACGAAGGAAGUGACGGUAAUCUGUGAGGAAGCCCCGGCUAACUACGUG
rnacentral:rRNA from 1 species